AUGGGGUUAAGUGUUCUUAUCUGGGAAAAAAGAAAGGAAAUGCUCAAAGGGUGUCACCACUCCAAUCCUAUCACAUCACCUUGGACAAAGUAUCCAAGUUGUGGUUGCCUUAAUAAACUGAAACAUUUUGUACAUAAUGUAAUUAAAGUCUAUCAGUCUGCAUGGAUGCAAACUGUGUGUGACAAAUCGUCUUUUAAAUGGUCAAUUUCAACUGUACAUUUCUCAUCCAAGUUGUACUCUAGCCAUUGGUUUAGCGUGGACAGAUAUUCCAUCUCUUUUAUCCAUUUCCACAGCCCAAGUGAAACAUGUUAAGAAACUCAGAAUGAAUAUAAAGUUAUUCCAUUGCCAUAGAUGUUUUCUAAAAGUCAGAUGUGGAAACUUCAAAUAAGUAUUUUCAAUUUCCUUCCCCAGACCUCCCCCUUAUCUUCCCUAAGACAUCAAAUACCUGGUAUGGUAGAUUAUAAAAAGAGAGACACUAAGAGACAGAAUUAAAUUUUCCAAUGAGAAUGAGAAUAUCUGGUUUACCUACAGAUUGCUUCUUUACAGAAAGUUGGGAACAGCAGAAAAUUGUAUUAUUACUUCAGAACACAACAUUAUUUCCUUAGAAGAAGAGGAUUUCUGUUGGGAACAUAGAGUAAGGGAUGGGUUAUCUAUCUGAGUAAAUGUUUAAAUUCCAAGUUAAUAUGCUUGCAAACAUCACUGCUCUGUCAUGGCACCAGCAGUUGGUUGAAAUUACCCACAGAGUCAUCCUAUUGUGCGCUAUCACCCCGGACUUCACAUCGUGUGCUGCUACUAAGUCAGUAGCAUUUAAUCCCAGCAUAUGUGAGUUUAAAGGAAUGCAGUCUCCUGUUCUUCAAAGCUUAUAUCUUAGAUACUCAGUUUAUGACCUAGGUUGACCUUUGGCAUUUCACACGGGUUGAACAGCAAAAUCAAACCAACCACUUUAAAUUUGUCAUUCCUAAGCCAUAUCUGAGUGGUUCCAAAGUCAUUCAAGAGGAAGGUUUAAAUUAUCCCUGCUCACCCCACCAUUGCUAUGAAAGAGCACCCAUUUUCAUUCCAAUUAAGCCAUAAAGAGGUUUCUNNNNNNNNNNNNNNNNNNNNNNNNNNNNNNNNNNNNNNNNNNNNNNNNNNNNNNNNNNNNNNNNNNNNNNNNNNNNNNNNNNNNNNNNNNNNNNNNNNNAUGAAAGAGCACCCAUUUUCAUUCCAAUUAAGCCAUAAAGAGGUUUCUCUCUUGUUGGAUUUUGAAAAUAAUUGAUUUCAUUCUUUCUUUUGCCCUUCUUCCUUCCAGUGUUGGACUGUUUCCCCAACCAAAUCUGUGAGCAGACUAAAUCUUCCUGCAGAGAGGAAUAAGCUGACACUCUCUAAGCUUCUUAAGGAAGGACCUAAAGCUCAAUUGGCAUUAACCUCUGGUAGGUGAGAAAUUUCAAAUAACUCUAGGAUACAUUAGAAUUUCCAAACCAACGAAAGGUAUUCCAGGAGAGGUACAGCAGACUUAUACCUUAUACAUAAAUUCAGUUCGCCAGUGGUCAUGUGAGUCAAAUACAGAUCUUCUACAUUUAUGAUCCCAAGACUAGAUUGGAAAACUACAGAAGAACAAAACUGAGAUAAGCUAAUCCAUUGUUUGGAGGUGGAUGCAAGUUUUGUCACAGGGCUUCUCUUUCCCAUCAAGUUCUUCCCUCAGUAUCGCAUUACUUUGAUUUUUUUUCUUUUGCUUUCUAUUAACCUAACUCAUCUUUCUAAUAUGACCAUUUCCUCAUUUUCUAACUACCCCCUUUGCAUUAGCCUCUCCUGUCCAGGCUCAAUAUGGGGCCAGUCUCAUUUUACAUCUUAUUGGUAGCAGAACCAAUGUUAGAACCCAACUCUCCUGACAUGCACUGGGGAGGUCUCUUAGCCACUCAACACUGCUUUCUGUGGCUGCAUAUUUAGAGAAAAUGCACGAAACUCCAUAAACCGCUCCAAAAGUAUUUCAUAAUAAGAGAAAUCCCUUGGUUUACUUUUCUGUUCCCUGCAAGACUUGCCUUCAGCAAGGAGGCACUUAAUAUGGACCCACUUAUAUGGAGUCUGAUUAGGGGUAAGCAAAGGGUGAAAUCGGUAUAAAAAUCACCUUGAGGGUGAUGAUGGGUCUCUGAGCCAUCUUUCUAAGUGGCUGGGGAGCCACUUGCUUUUCAACCGCUCAUCUCAAACGAGAGGAACAGAGAUUAACUUCCUCUAAUGUAUGGCUCCCGCUACAACCCAAGGAAGACAGGUUGAAGGAAAGGAGAGUAUGUCAGGGCUGGCUCGUGAUUUGACAGGCCUGGGACUCAACAGCCACUGNNNNNNNNNNNNNNNNNNNNNNNNNNNNNNAGGAUUAGCAUGUUAACUUGGCUGCUGUCCGGAGUGGGAGGCCACAUUUGAUGGCAGUCAGAGUUUGUGUUCUGGGCAUUGCUGGUUCUAUAAAUAUGAUAAGCAAGUGGUGACAGAAUUAUAGUAUAAGGUGAUGUACUACAUGGAGAUCAUAAAGGAUUUGGUUUUAGGACUUAAGUAGAAAAUCCACUCCUACAGCUUAUUACCCGACAAUAUUCAGAUAAUGAGCUUUUGGAGAAUAUUAUUUCCCUACCACUAGGAAGAUUUACCUGGGAACUGUCUAAAGUCUAUACAUAUAUUUCCAAAGCCUUUAAAUGCCAACUGUAGCAUGGGGGUCAGGGGGAGGUGGCAGAAGCUGAAAUGCCUCAAAAGCCAUUUAAGUGUUACAUUGCAGGAUUUUCAGUCCUUCACAUUAUGUAAAAGUAGAUAAAUAUAGACAUUAUUCUCAAUUCUACCCUAUAAUAUCACAAUGGUCCA
ensembl:lncRNA